CCUACGGGUGGCAGCAGUGAGGAAUAUUGGUCAAUGGACGAGAGUCUGAACCAGCCAAGUAGCGUGAAGGAUGACUGCCCUAUGGGUUGUAAACUUCUUUUAUAUGGGAAUAAAAUGUUCCACGUGUGGGAUUUUGUAUGUACCAUAUGAAUAAGGAUCGGCUAACUCCGUGCCAGCAGCCGCGGUAAUACGGAGGAUCCGAGCGUUAUCCGGAUUUAUUGGGUUUAAAGGGAGCGUAGGUGGAUUGUUAAGUCAGUUGUGAAAGUUUGCGGCUCAACCGUAAAAUUGCAGUUGAAACUGGCAGUCUUGAGUACAGUAGAGGUGGGCGGGAUGCGGGGUGUAGCGGUGAAAUGCUUAGAUAUCACGAAGAACUCCGAUUGCGAAGGCAGUUCACUGGACUGCAACUGACACUGAGGCUCGAAAGUGUGGGUAUCAAACAGGAUUAGAUACCCCGGUAGUC
rnacentral:rRNA from 1 species